rnacentral:rRNA from 1 species
CCCUUAGAUGUUCUGGGCCGCACGCGCGCUACACUGAUGCGUUCAACAAGUUUCCUUGGCCGAGAGGCCUGGGCAAUCUUCUUGAUAUGUAUCGUGAUAGGGAUAGAUUAUUGCAAUUAUUAAUCUUGAACGAGGAAUUCCUAGUAAACGCAGAUCAUCAAUCUGCAUUGAUUACGUCCCUGCCCUUUGUACACACCGCCCGUCGCACCUACCGAUUGGAUGUUCCGGUGAAGCCUCGGGAUGAGGACUGGUGCCUUUAUUGGCAUGAGUUGUUCAGAACUUGUCUAAACCUUAUCAUCUAGAGGAAGGUGAAGUCGUAACA